GUGGGGAAUAUUGGACAAUGGGCGCAAGCCUGAUCCAGCCAUGCCGCGUGAGUGAUGAAGGCCUUAGGGUUGUAAAGCUCUUUCAGUGGGGACGAUAAUGACGGUACCCACAGAAGAAGCCCCGGCUAACUUCGUGCCAGCAGCCGCGGUAAUACGAAGGGGGCUAGCGUUGUUCGGAUUUACUGGGCGUAAAGCGCACGUAGGCGGAUUGGUCAGUUAGAGGUGAAAUCCCGAAGCUCAACUUCGGAACUGCCUUUAAUACUGCCAGUCUCGAGUCCGGAAGAGGUGAGUGGAACUCCUAGUGUAGAGGUGGAAUUCGUAGAUAUUAGGAAGAACACCAGUGGCGAAGGCGGCUCACUGGUCCGGUACUGACGCUGAGGUGCGAAAGCGUGGGGAGCAAACAGGAUUAGAUACCCGAGUAGUCC
rnacentral:rRNA from 1 species